AAAUUGAAGAGUUUGAUCAUGGCUCAGAUUGAACGCUGGCGGCAGGCCUAACACAUGCAAGUCGAGCGGAAACGAGUUAUCUGAACCUUCGGGGAACGAUAACGGCGUCGAGCGGCGGACGGGUGAGUAAUGCCUAGGAAAUUGCCCUGAUGUGGGGGAUAACCAUUGGAAACGAUGGCUAAUACCGCAUAAUGCCUACGGGCCAAAGAGGGGGACCUUCGGGCCUCUCGCGUCAGGAUAUGCCUAGGUGGGAUUAGCUAGUUGGUGAGGUAAGGGCUCACCAAGGCGACGAUCCCUAGCUGGUCUGAGAGGAUGAUCAGCCACACUGGAACUGAGACACGGUCCAGACUCCUACGGGAGGCAGCAGUGGGGAAUAUUGCACAAUGGGCGCAAGCCUGAUGCAGCCAUGCCGCGUGUGUGAAGAAGGCCUUCGGGUUGUAAAGCACUUUCAGUCGUGAGGAAGGCGGCGUCGUUAAUAGCGGCGUUGUUUGACGUUAGCGACAGAAGAAGCACCGGCUAACUCCGUGCCAGCAGCCGCGGUAAUACGGAGGGUGCGAGCGUUAAUCGGAAUUACUGGGCGUAAAGCGCAUGCAGGUGGUUUGUUAAGUCAGAUGUGAAAGCCCGGGGCU
rnacentral:rRNA from 1 species